GGCUCUAUAGCUCAGUUGGUAGAGCAAAGGACUGAAAAUUCUUGUGUCGUAGGUUCGAUUCCUGCUGGAGCCACCA
rnacentral:tRNA from 1 species